UUCGCAAUGCCCGAAAGGGUGACGAAGCGACGCCGCGUGUGGGAAGAAGGCCUUCGGGUUGUAAACCACUGUCGGGAGUUAAGAAAUGUAAGGGUGUUAAUAGCGCCUUUACUUGACAAAGGCUCCGGAGGAGGCCACGGCUAACUCUGUGCCAGCAGCCGCGGUAAUACAGAGGCGGCAAGCGUUGUUCGGGAUUAUUGGGCGUAAAGAGCACGUAGGCGGCUUUGCAAGUCAGUUGUGAAAGCCUUCCGCUUAACGGAAGAACAGCAGCUGAUACUACAGAGCUUGAGUACGGGAGGGGAGAGUGGAACUUCUGGUGGAGCGGUGAAAUGCGUAGAUAUCAGAAGGAACGCCGGCGGCGAAAGCGAUUCUCUGGUCCGAAACUGACGCUGAGUGUGCGAAAGCUAGGGGAUCAAACGGGAUUAGAUACCCCGGUAGUCCUAGCCGUAAACGAUGGGCACUAAGUAGAGGGGUUUU
rnacentral:rRNA from 1 species